AGUGAACGCUGGCGGUAGGCCUAACACAUGCAAGUCGAACGGCAGCACAGUAAGAGCUUGCUCUUACGGGUGGCGAGUGGCGGACGGGUGAGGAAUACAUCGGAAUCUACUUUUUCGUGGGGGAUAACGUAGGGAAACUUACGCUAAUACCGCAUACGACCUACGGGUGAAAGCAGUGGAUCUUCGGACCUUGCGCGAUUGAAUGAGCCGAUGUCGGAUUAGCUAGUUGGCGGGGUAAAGGCCCACUAAGGCGACGAUCCGUAGCUGGUCUGAGAGGAUGAUCAGCCACACUGGAACUGAGACACGGUCCAGACUCCUACGGGAGGCAGCAGUGGGGAAUAUUGCGCAAUGGGCGCAAGCCUGAUCCAGCCAUACCGCGUGGGUGAAGAAGGCCUUCGGGUUGUAAAGCCCUUUUGUUGGGAAAGAAAAGCAGCAGGUUAAUACCCCGCUGUUCUGACGGUACCCAAAGAAUAAGCACCGGCUAACUUCGUG
rnacentral:rRNA from 1 species